UUUCUAGAGAUAGAAGUUACUUCGGUACAUCGGUGACAGGUGGUGCAUGGUUGUCGUCAGCUCGUGUCGUGAGAUGUUGGGUUAAGUCCCGCAACGAGCGCAACCCCUAUUGUUAGUUGCCAUCAUUCAGUUGGGCACUCUAGCGAGACUGCCGGUAAUAAACCGGAGGAAGGUGGGGAUGACGUCAAAUCAUCAUGCCCCUUAUGACCUGGGCUACACACGUGCUACAAUGGUUGGUACAACGAGUUGCGAGUCGGUGACGGCGAGCUAAUCUCUUAAAGCCAAUCUCAGUUCGGAUUGUAGGCUGCAACUCGCCUACAUGAAGUCGGAAUCGCUAGUAAUCGCGGAUCAGCACGCCGCGGUGAAUACGUUCCCGGGCCUU
rnacentral:rRNA from 1 species